CAGUAGCCGCGGGAAUACGUAGGGUGCAGGCGUUAAUCGGAAUUACUGGGCGUAAAGCGUGCGCAGGCGGUUCUAUAAGACAGAUGUGAAAUCCCCGGGCUCAACCUGGGAACUGCAUUUGUGACUGUAGAGCUGGAGUGCGGCAGAGGGGGAUGGAAUUCCGCGUGUAGCAGUGAAAUGCGUAGAUAUGCGGAGGAACACCGAUGGCGAAGGCAAUCCCCUGGGCCUGCACUGACGCUCAUGCACGAAAGCGUGGGGAGCAAACAGGAUUAGAGACCCCUGUAGUCCCUGUCUCUUAUAC
rnacentral:rRNA from 1 species